UUAAAGGUUAUCAUGAUGAAUUUUAAAGUAAAUAUUUAAAAUUUGUUUUCAGAUCACACAGCAAUUAGAGAAUAUCUGUCUACGGAUCAUUGACCUUGUUUUACAGAAGCACGUAAUUGAAUUCUAUGAAGAAAUUCUUUCACUGGCAUAUAGUUUAACCUGUCACACAAUUUCCCCUCAAAUGUGGCAACUUCUAGGUAUUUUAUAUGAAGUUUUCCAGCAGGAUUGCUUUGAAUACUUUACAGACAUGAUGCCUCUCCUGCAUAAUUAUGUGACAAUAGAUACAAAUACUUUACUAUCAAAUCCAAAGCAUUUAGAAGUACUUUUUACAAUGUGUAGAAAGUGCAUUCCUCUCUUUGUUCAACUUGUUUUGGAGAGAUUAACUCGAGGGGUCAAAACUAGUGAACUCCGUACGAUGUGUCUUCAGGUUGCAAUUGCUGCCUUGUACUAUAACCCUGAUUUGCUGCUACAUACUUUAGAUCGAAUUCAGUUGCCUCACAACCCUGGACCUAUCACUGUACAGUUUAUAAACCAGUGGAUGAGCGAUACAGAUUAUUUUCUUGGGUAUGUGUGCCUUUUGGACUUCAUAUUGAC
rnacentral:lncRNA from 1 species